rnacentral:lncRNA from 1 species
CUGAUCUGUAGGUUUAAAACAUGGCGCUGGAGCUUCAUGUCACCAAGGUCCCUGAUAACUAUGGUUCAAGGAGAGUGGGGAAAAGCGGGUGAGAGUAUAUGGACAUGCCGCUGGGAAAAUGAAGAGAGGAAGAAGAAGUAGAAGAGCAGGGAGGAAGAGGAGGAGGAGGAAAAUGGAAAAGAAGAAACAGGAAAGAAACACCAACGAUGUCACGGGUGCAUUUUAAAUUGUACAAGUCAGCCAAAGAAUGAGGUAGUUAUUGUGGAAAGAAUCAUGGAAGGGUCUCAGUGCUAAACAUUCAUGAAUGCUCUUCCCAGAUUUGAAUUGAAGGGAAGGAAGCUAAGACCACUUGCUGAAAUGAUCACACAUCCAGUAGGAGAAUGUAGAAGAUGAGAAGAAAAUACAAGAAUCUGAGUAAACCUCAAUAAUGGAGUCAUUUUUCCAAGGACAAUGAAAGCACUGAACAGAUCUUUUAGGACGGUUAUGAAAUUCCUGAGUUAACUGUUCCCUCAAUUUGUAUCUCCUACACCACUGAGCAGAUAACAUCUCUCUCUACACACACAGGUAUGUCCUGCUGUACUAGAGAUUUCAUAUGAAAAUGUAGCUUUCCUUAGACUCCAGAGGAUUUCUUUAAUCAGGUGAAGGGCCACCGUGCUCAAUAAUCCAUUGAUAACUAUGCCUUCACGGAAUCUUUUGGCUAAUCACAGGUAGAUUACAUGAAGUGAACCUACAAU